GACGAGGGAUCCUAGCGUUGUUCGGAAUCAUUGGGCGUAAAGCGGGUGCAGGUGGCUAUGUAAGUCAGGUGUGAAAGCCUGGGGCUCAACCCCAGAAGUGCAUUUGAUACUGCGUAGCUUGAGUGCUAGAGAGGAUAGUAGAAUUCCUGGUGUAGUGGUGAAAUACGUAGAUAUCAGGAGGAAUACCGGAGGCGAAGGCGGCUAUCUGGCUAGACACUGACACUCAGACCCGAAAGCGUGGGGAU
rnacentral:rRNA from 1 species